rnacentral:tRNA from 1 species
GUCACUUUGCCGGAGUGGUUAACGGGAUCGCCUGCUAACAGCCAAGCGGUUGGGCUUUGCCCGCGUGUGUUCGAAUCGCACAGGUGACG